AUACUUACCUGGCAGAGGAGAUAACAUGAUCAUGAAGAUGGUUUUCCUAGGGUGAGGGUUAUCCAUUGCACUCCAGAUAUGCUGAUCCCUGUGAUUUCCCCAAAUUUGUGAAACUUGACUGCAUAAUUUAUUCGUGCUCUCCCCUGGCUGGGGGGAA
rnacentral:snRNA from 1 species